AGUGAACGCUGUCGGUAGGCCUAACAAAUGCAAGUCGAACGGAAGCACAGUAAGAGCUUGCUCCUACGAGUGGCGACUGGCGGACGGGUGAAGAAUACAGCGCAAUCUACUUAUUCGUGGAGGAUAACGUAGGAACAAUUACGCUAACACCGCAUACCACCUACGGGUGAAAGCAGGGGGUCUUGGGACCUUGGGCGAUUGAAUGAGCAGGUGUCGGAUUAGCUGGUUGGCGGGGUAAAGGCCCACCAAGGCGACGAUCCGGAGCUGGUCUGAGAGGAUGAUCGGCCACACUGGAAUGGAGACACGCUCCAGACGCCUAGGGGAGGCAGCAGUGGGCAAUAUUUGACACUUGGCGAAAGCCUGAGCCAGUCAUACCGCGUCGGAGAUGCAGGCCUUCGGGUAGUAAAGUCCUGUUUUUGGCGAAGAAGAGCUGCGUGUUGUUACCGGCCCAUAUUGACGGUACUAAAAAAACAAGCGACGGCUAACUUCGUC
rnacentral:rRNA from 1 species